rnacentral:rRNA from 1 species
UACAGGGGGUGCAAACGUUGCUCGGAAUCAUUGGGCGUAAAGCGCACGUAGGCGGUUCGUUAUGUCGGAUGUGAAAGCCCUUGGCUUAACCGAGGAAGUGCAUCCGAAACUGGCGAGCUAGAGUACGAAAGAGGAUCGCGGAAUUCCCGGUGUAGAGGUGAAAUUCGUAGAUAUCAGGAAGAACACCCGUGGCGAAGGCGGCUCUCUGGAACGCAACUGACGCUGAGACGCGAAAAGCGUGGGGAGCAAACAGG